rnacentral:rRNA from 1 species
AGUGAACGCUGGCGGUAGGCCUAACACAUGCAAGUCGAACGGCAGCACAGUAAGAGCUUGCUCUUACGGGUGGCGAGUGGCGGACGGGUGAGGAAUACAUCGGAAUCUACUUUUUCUUGGGGGAUAACGUGGGGAAACUUACGCUAAUACCUCAUACGACCUACGGGUGAAAGCAGAGGAUCUUCGGACCUUUCGCGAUUGAAUGAGCCGAUGUCGGAUUAGCUAGUUGGCGGGGUAAAGGCCCACCAAGGCGACGAUCCGUAGCUGGUCUGAGAGGAUGAUCAGCCACACUGGAACUGAGACACGGUCCAGACUCCUACGGGAGGCAGCAGUGGGGAAUAUUGGACAAUGGGCGCAAGCCUGAUCCAGCCAUACCGCGUGGGUGAAGAAGGCCUUCGGGUUGUAAAGCCCUUUUGUUGGGAAAGAAAAGCAGCAGGUUAAUACCCCGCUGUUCUGACGGUACCCAAAGAAUAAGCACCGGCUAACUUCGUG